rnacentral:rRNA from 1 species
GACGUAGGAGGCGAGCGUUAUCCGGAUUCACUGGGCGUAAAGCGCAUGUAGGCGGAUGUCUAAGUCGUGUGUUAAAGCCCCUGGCUCAACUGGGGGAGGUCAUGCGAGACUGGAUGACUUGAGGGCAACAGAGGCACGUGGAACUCCCGGUGUAGCGGUGGAAUGCGUAGAGAUCGGGAAGAACACCCGUGGCGAAGGCGGCGUGCUGGGUUGCAACG